rnacentral:rRNA from 1 species
CGGAUCGGAGCUGNAACCCGACUCCGUGAAGCUGGAUUCGCUAGUAAUCGCGCAUCAGCCAUGGCGCGGUGAAUACGUUCCCGGGCCUUGUACACACCGCCCGUCAAGCCAUGGAAGCCGGGGGUGCCUGAAGUGUGCAGCCGCAAGGAGCGCCCUAAGGUAAAACCGGUGACUGGGGCUAAGUCGUAACAAGGUAUC